CGUUCCCGGGCCUUGUACACACCGCCCGUCACACCACGAAAGUUGGCAAUACCCGAAGCCGGUGGCCUAACCCGCAAGGGAGGGAGCCGUCUAAGGUAGGGUCGAUGAUUGGGGUG
rnacentral:rRNA from 1 species